AGGGGAAUUGCUGGGUAAUAUGGUAACUUGAUGUUUAGCUGUUUGAGUAAUUGCUAGGCUGUUUUCCACAGUGGGUGCACCAUUUUACAUUCCCACCAGCAGU
rnacentral:pre_miRNA from 1 species